ensembl:lncRNA
GGAGGGAGAGGAGAGGAACAGGUCGAGGGGGACAGAAGAAAGGGAGGGAGAGGAGAGGAACAGGUCGAGGGGGACAGAAGAAAGGGAGGAAGAGGAACAGGUCGAGGGGGGCAGAAGAAAGGGAGGGAGAGGAACAGGUCGAGGGGGACAGAAGAAAGGGAGGAGAGGAACAUGUCGAGGGGGACAGAAGAAAGGGAGGGAGAGGAGAGGAACAGGUCGAGGGGGACAGAAGAAAGGGAGGAAGAGGAACAGGUCGAGGGGGACAGAAGAAAGGGAGGGAGAGGAGAGGAACAGGUCAAGGGGGACAGAAGAAAGGGAGGGAGAGGAGAGGAACAGGUCGAGAGGGACAGAAGAAAGGGAGGAGAGGAGAGGAACAGGUCGAGGGGGACAGAAGAAAGUGAGGGAGAGGAACAGGUCGAGGGGGCAGAAGAAAGGGAGGGAGAGGAACAGGUCGAGGGGGACAGAAGAAAGGGAGGAGAGGAACAUGUCGAGGGGGACAGAAGAAAGGGAGGGAGAGGAGAGGAACAGGUCGAGGGGGACAGAAGAAAGGGAGGGAGAGGAACAGGUCGAGGGGGACAGAAGAAAGGGAGGGAGAGGAGAGGAUCAGGUCGAGGGGGACAGAAGAAAGGGAGGGAGAGGAGAGGAACAGGUCCAGGGGGACAGAAGGAAGGAAGGAAGGGAGAGGAGAGGAACAGGUCGAGGGUGACAGAAGAAAGGGAGAGAGAGGAGAGGAUCAGGUCGAGGGGGACAGAAGAAAGGGAGAGAGAGGAGAG